rnacentral:rRNA from 1 species
UUGAGCAUCAAACUUUUAAAUUGAAGAGUUUGAUCAUGGCUCAGAUUGAACGCUGGCGGCAGGCCUAACACAUGCAAGUCGAACGGUAACAGGAAGCAGCUUGCUGCUUUGCUGACGAGUGGCGGACGGGUGAGUAAUGUCU